GUUCUAAGUAAACGCAUUAGGAACAAUUUUCAAGUUAAAGAGUUUCUCCUUUCUCUCUAAUUAGCAGACCUCCCAAAACAUAAAGGUGAUGAUCUGCAUAAAAUCAAUGUGUUAUGCUACAUUGCUUAUACUCAUCGCUGAAGAGAUUCUCAGAAAUAAAUGGGUUACAUAAGAGGCUGGGAAGAUUAUGGAUCUACAAUGGAAGACAACCCUUUACUGUUGGAGAGAACUUCAAUUAGAGAACUGUACAAGAGACACAACAAACAAGAAGACUUGAACAGAUACCAUUAAUAAAAGACAUGUCAAAUAAAAAUGGACGGACAGAGAAAACUUGUGCUACUGUGUUCUACAUAGUUAGGAACUCAGAAGGCAUCAGCUGUUUAAAACAGGGAGAAAUAUAAACAAGUCUAAUGGUAGUAAAGCAAAUUGUGCAAGAACACAGAAAACACAGAGGGGAGGGGUUUCAAAUAAUGUAAAAUAAUGGAGGGAAAAUAAAAUGCUUCAAGAAAUUCAAGUCUGUGUAAGGGUCUGUGAAGAAUAAAGAUCCUUGCCCCAUUUACCACAGUUACUAUUACUGGCAGAGCUGGAACUGUAGAGUACGUUUGGAGGACUAAGAAGAAUGUCUACCUACACUGACACAGUGUUCUCCUGGAAGGAACACUAAGCCCCAUUAUAAUUUUAACAGUUAAAACUAAUGAGAAACACAAGACCUCCCUCCCCUCGCUCCCAAACGUACUGAAAAGGAUCAGACACAGGUAGGUAUAAAAACUUCAGAUUCAAAAGAAAGUGAGAAAGAAUGCAGAAAAUUAAGCACAACCAAAAUCAGAAAAGCAACAAUGUAGAAGGAAAUAAAGAUUACAUAAAUUUUACCGUUAAUAGUAUUAUUUUCAAUUGAGGAUACAAAGGCGUACAUAUGAUGGGUACCACAGAGAUAGAUAGAUAGAUAGAUAUUAAAUAAAAACUUUUUUUGGUGUCUAGGAAAAACGUGGCAAAAGCUCCAGAGAACAUGUCCAUUUUUAAAGGUGCUACAUGUAUGGAAUCUGUUGAUUAACUUCAAAUCUGGUAAAAAUGCUGCCAGUCUUUAUGUUUGAAUUUUGAGGAUGAUAUUUCACUAUGGAUUUUAGGAGAUAAGGAAAAAUUAGGCUUAUAAUAGAAUGUGAGUUACAAAUGUCUCUCUAGAUAGACUACUGUCUAUUUAAAAACUUCAGAGGGGUAGCUCAGUUAGUCUGUAACUGGAAAAAACAAACAAUGGCUA